UUCUUCUAUUUGGAGACAACUGACAAAAUUGGUAUUAUACAGAGAAGAUUAGCAUGGCCCCUACUAACAGGAUUAGGUCAUUUCAAUCAUUGCUUAAAAAUAUA